rnacentral:rRNA from 1 species
UCAGGAAUAUUGCGCAAUGGAGGAAACUCUGACGCAGCGACGCCGCGUGGGUGAUGAAGGCCUUCGGGUCGUAAAGCCCUGUCGGAGGGGAAGAAAAGCCUGUUGGCUAAUAUCCAGUGGGCCCUUGACGGUACCCUCAAAGGAAGCACCGGCUAACUCCGUGCCAGCAGCCGCGGUAAGACGGAGGGUGCAAGCGUUGUUCGGAUUGACUGGGCGUAAAGGGCGUGUAGGCGGUUGGUCAAGUCUGGUGUGAAAGCCCGGGGCUCAGCCCCGGAAGUGCAUCGGAAACUAGCCAGCUGGAGCGCGAUAGAGGAGGGUGGAAUUCCUGGUGUAGCGGUGAAAUGCGUAGAUAUCAGGAGGAACACCGGCGGCGAAGGCGGCCCUCUGGAUCGUUGCUGACGCUGAGACGCGAAAGCGUGGGGAGCAAACAGGAUUAGAUACCCGGGUAGUCC